CCUGAACGCUGGCGGCGUGGCUAAGACAUGCAAGUCGAACGGGUGUAGCAAUACACCAGUGGCGGACGGGUGAGUAAUGUAUCGCUAACGUGCCCUGGAAUCUGAGAUAGCCAAUCGAAAGGUUGGGUAAUACCAGAUGAAAUAUCCUUAUCGCAUGAUGAGGAUCUCAAAGGAGCAAUCCGGUCUGGGGAGCGGGCGAUAUCGUAUCAGCUAGUUGGUGAGGUAACGGCUCACCAAGGCGACGACGCGUAGCCGGGCUGAGAGGUCGGCCGGCCACAUUGGGACUGAGACACUGCCCAGACUCCUACGGGGGGCUGCAGUAACGAAUCUUCCGCAAUGCACGAAAGUGUGACGGAGCGACGCCGCGUGUAGGAU
rnacentral:rRNA from 1 species